rnacentral:rRNA from 1 species
GACGAACGCUGGCGGCGUGCUUAACACAUGCAAGUCGAACGGAAAGGCCCUGCUUUUGUGGGGUGCUCGAGUGGCGAACGGGUGAGUAACACGUGAGUAACCUGCCCUUGACUUUGGGAUAACUUCAGGAAACUGGGGCUAAUACCGGAUAGGAGCUCCUGCUGCAUGGUGGGGGUUGGAAAGUUUCGGCGGUUGGGGAUGGACUCGCGGCUUAUCAGCUUGUUGGUGGGGUAGUGGCUUACCAAGGCUUUGACGGGUAGCCGGCCUGAGAGGGUGACCGGCCACAUUGGGACUACGAUACGGCCCAGACUCCUACGGGAGGCAGCGGUGGGGAGUAUUGCACAAUGGGCGGAAGCCUGAUGCAGCAACGCCGCGUGCGGGAUGACGGCCUUCGGGUUGUAAACCGCUUUCGCCUGUGACGAAGCGUGAGUGACGGUAAUGGGUAAAGAAGCACCGGCUAACUACGUG